rnacentral:rRNA from 1 species
CAGUAGCCGCGGGAAUACGGAGGGGGCUAGCGUUGUUCGGAAUUACUGGGCGUAAAGCGCACGUAGGCGGCUUGGUAAGUUAGAGGUGAAAGCCCGGAGCUCAACUCCGGAAUUGCCUUUAAGACUGCCGAGCUAGUAGGUGAGAGAGGUAAGUGGAAUUCCGAGUGUAGAGGUGAAAUUCGUAGAUAUUCGGAAGAACACCAGUGGCGAAGGCGGCUUACUGGCUCAUUCUAGACGCUGAGGUGCGAAAGCGUGGGGAGCAAACAGGAUUAGAGACCCCAGUAGUCCCUGUCUCUUAUAC